UACGGAAGGCAGCAGUGGGGAAUAUUGCACAAUGGGCGCAAAGCCUGAUGCAGCCAUGCCGCGUGUAUGAAGAAGGCCUUCGGGUUGUAAAGUACUUUCAGUCGUGAAGGAAGGUGUUAAGGUUAAUAACCUUAGCAAUUGACGUUAGCGACAGAAGAAGCACCGGCUAACUCCGUGCCAGCAGCCGCGGUAAUACGGAGGGUGCGAGCGUUAAUCGGAAUUACUGGGCGUAAAGGGCACGCAGGCGGUUAAUUAAGUUGGAUGUGAAAUCCCCGGGCUUAACCUGGGAAUGGCAUUCAAGACUGGUUAGCUAGAGUCUUGUAGAGGGGGUAGAAUUCCAUGUGUAGCGGUGAAAUGCGUAGAGAUGUGGAGGAAUACCGGUGGCGAAGGCGGCCCCUGGACAAAGACUGACGCUCAUGUGCGAAAGCGUGGGGAGCAAACAGGGAUUAGAUACC
rnacentral:rRNA from 1 species